ACCUGUAAUUAGAUAGGAACGGGGGUUGGUUUGGGCUGGUCCUUCCGCAGGAGAGCCCUAUUCUCACCCUAGGUCUGUUAAUGAGCUGGGGACAGGUGAGCCUCACACAUUCCAACUUGCCUGCCUUCAGCGGCAUCCAGGAGCUGGUGGUGAGCUAUUAAUGGAAGGUGCGGGCUUUGUGCUAAUUAGAACUCUUCAGCUUCCGUCUGUGCAGGCACUGGAGCCCCCUCACUGGUCAGCCUCACCACCCCCACCCCAGCUUGCAACCUAGUUUCUGUUUCCCCCAUGAAUUAGGGGGUACUGUGAGCAGAAUUGCUUCUCACUGGCUCAGGUCAAAUCUCUAGUCUUAAUGUGUUUUAGAAAUGUGCAGGGUGGCAUUUCUCAGACCUCCCUCUUGUUAGGGUACAGUUGCAUCACAAGUUCGAUGCAAGUUGGGGAGCCAUGGUCACUCUUCAGGGUAGGCCAGUGUUAUAAUGUCUGGAGAGUGUUUUGUAAAGAACUUCUGGAAAGUGUGGCUCCAGUCCCUUGCCCCUUGUUAUUACUUGAAUUCUGGAUGUCUCUGGAAUCUAGUCUGGUUGUUCCCACCCACUUUACCUCACCUCAUCCUACGGCUGCGGUUGCGGCUGUGGCUGCCCUAUCUUUGCUGCCCCAGACAGCCUAGGCUAUGAGCUAUGCCCCUUAACCCUUUAUCUGAAAAAACAACAACAAAAAACCAAAACAAAAACAAAAAACUUUAAAAAUAUAGCAUGCCACCUCAAGCCCAAUGGAUAUAGUUUUUGACUCUUAUAAAGGUUUCAUUGUAACAAAACUGCAUUAAUGUCAUGUCAUGUCAUUUAAAGAAAACACAGCUCUCAGAAUGAAGAUGAAGAGAAAAGAGGGGUGACUCCAUGAAUGCUCCUUUCAGUUUCUGUAUUCCCUCAGGUCUCCUUGGGUUGUGUGCAAAAAUAUCAAGCCCUUCUACCAAUGCAUCUCACAGUAUUUUGGUUGGGUUAUCUUGAUAAUAUAAUUGUGAACUGUGACUGGAUUGUGGCCAUUGUGGGGCCUCUCUGGUUCCCUCAAGGCUUGCACCUACACUGGAGUGGAGCCUGAGAGGGCUGCAGAAAUCCAGUGCUUAUGGGGAAGGUAGGACUGGCUUGUUUGUAUGGCUUUUCCUGCCCCUGGGGGUGAUAAUUCCUCACUUGACGUUCUAGAGUUCAAGAUGUGGGAUCACCAGGUUUAAAAACCUCACACUGUAAAUUUUAGAAAGGCUGGGCUGCAGGGAGCUGAGAGUGCUCUACUCUGAGGCAGAAUUCUCUCACAGGUUCUAUCCUGUUCCACACUGCGUGUAUCCUUGAGGUGUGACCUCCACCUCUUUAAGUGAGAUGGGGACAGUAGUACCUGUACCUACAGGACUCGUGUGAAAUUUACAUAAAACAUACAAAUAAAGUGCCUGGCACACAGUAGGUCAGAUGGUAUCUCAAAUGACAGGGACACACAGACACACACACCAAGGGCUGAAAUCCAAAACUUCCCCUGCUGAAGGCAGAAUGAAAGCCGGGACAGAUGCACACAACACAGUGUCACUAAAUAGCCCAUAAGCUGCCUACCUCCCCAGCUAGAUCCAUCUCUGCGAGUCCUGAGGGCUGCAAAGAGCACCGCGGUGUAUGGAAGAUCAAGGAGAGACAGUAUACAUUCUGAGCUUGGAUGACUGACUAGAGGGAUAUCUGUCUUGAGACAUUGAAGUCAGCAGACUGGCACUGGCUACUCUUGCAAGGAACACUAGGGCUGAAAGCCAAGGUGGAACCUCAAGGCCGGCAGGUGUUAGUGCAUGGAGAAAACCUUCCGGGGUCUAAAUCCUCACUAGUUGUGACACUGGGAAAAGCUAUGUUUGUGCCUUGGUUAAGUUGAGAUCAGGCUUUCUGCCAACAUAUCCAAGUGUCCUGUCUAGUACCAAACAUGGGUACUACAUAGAACCGGCUCCCUUCCACAGCAAGUACCCCACCCAGUGUCUUCCCGCAUCCUGGGCAGGUUGGUGGGAGCUCAGAGCUCCAGCAUUUCCCCCAGGCUGUGGUGGUGACCUGUAGGACGCUUGUGUCCUCACCUCCAGGUCAGUGCUGUAGGACCCUGAGGUUUGUAAUAAACCGCACAUAUUUCUAGGGGUUGGUGGCGGGCGCCCGACUUAUUCUCUCUGUGUUACAGUUGCUCCAGAUUCCCGAAUUUCCUACCUGGGCUCUGAGUGCCCUUCACUAGCACCUACUGGCCUUCAGCACGAAGGAGGCUCGCAUCACUGCAGGGAAAGCCUUCUCUCCUCAGACAUGGUGGGAUGUACUCUGAUCUAGAGCAGGCAUCUGGCCAGAGACCCACAGGGAGCUCUGUGAUUGGCCUCAGAUGACCUAGAGGACAAAGAGAGGUCAGUGACUCCUGUUGUCUGCGAGUGUGAUGCUGGAGGUGGAGGUGGGACAAAGCCAUCAUGUCUUUGAAGAAAGCUUCUGGCCUCAAGCCAGACUCAGGAUUUUGGAGACUCGAGCCUCUUCUGGACAUGUGCACCUUGACAGUAGUGGCUUCUAAUUGUCCUGUGAAGGGAAAUGAUGGAACAGGCUCUGGUCGGCUUUUCUGGGAACAGACAGAGAAGUGGUAACUCCUGCCAAAGUCACGGGAUGCAUACAAAGCCCAGAACCCGAACAGGAAAAUGCAGCAGGAAAGGACACCGCAGCAGCCACCAUCCUGGGGUGGCUGUGCACGGGGCAGUCCUGCCCCUGGAACUUGGCCAGAGGCCAGGGCAAGUGCCCACCUCCCUUCUAGGGGCCUUUGUCACUGGCCUGCUUGCCCAGGUCUCCUUCAUCUCUGCUGCUGCCACACCUUUCAGGCCUGUUCUGGGUCUGAUGUGAUGCAGAACACUCUGCUCCGUCACUUGGGAAAUGGAAACUUCAUCACCAGCGUUUCCACCCCAAAGAACUAGACAGCACACUGGGAAGUUGCCAAAGGAAGGGACUUCAGCCUCCCAGGAGUUAACAACAUUUCUCCCCAGCUGUCCUCCCCUUGGUGCUCCUUUUCCUCCCUCCUCCUGCUCACAGCAGGCAGGGCCUGGAACCAGGAGCCAUGCUGCUGUGCUGUUGCCAGGGGAGCUGGGAGGCAGAUCAGAGCUAUGCAGGGGAAAGGCUCAGCCUGUCAAAGUGUCUGAGAUGAACCACCGCCAUCCCCGUGCAGCUGGGCUCCAUGUGUCUCAAGGCUCUUGUUCUGUGCCUGAGAACAGGGAAACCCAGCGAGGUUCAAGGGCACACUCGCUAUUCAUCAGUCAGGGGUUCUUGACGGUCCUGCCUCUCCCAGAGAUGGGUUCCCCCCUUCCUCUUUCUCUCCCUCCUGUGACACAAUCCUGGGUGCCUAUGGUGAGGACUGCACACCCCCUCCCUACUGCUCCCCCCAAACCCUGAAUCAACUCUUAUUAAGGAGGCCAGGCAGGACAGAGACAAUGGCUUCAAGAAAUCAUUCAGGCAGGACCCCAGCCACAUUUGCCUGCCCUUCACUCCCAGUGCCCCUGUAGAUCCCACUCUGCAGUGAUUCAGGGCACCCUUGGGCCCCCAGCUUGCAUAUGCUUAGACAGGAGCAGGCCACUAGGUGCUGCCCUACACAACAGGCCAGUGCACUAUUCUCAGUGUUAUUCUUAGUGGCCCCUAGGUCCCUCUGUCCCACUGGCUGCAUAUUUUUGUGCAGUUGGCCGGAAAGUAGAAACUGUACAAUAUUUUCUGAAAUGUGGUAAUAUCAAAAUGUAAAAGACAUAUAUACUUGAUUACUAAUCUCAUCCAGAUACCCUGGAAACGUUUGCUAAGAAGCAUGGACAAAGAGCUGUGGUUGAAGGAAUGAGUCAUUCCUUUCUAUGGAGUACCGCAGAGGCAGCUCGUGCAGGCUGAUAGGGAAGGCUCCAAUAUACUCAAGUGCAGAAUAAAGUACAAAAGGUCAAGUAAAGGACAAACGUGUUCCUGUUUGUAUAUACCUAAAGUCAGUCAGGGACUCGGGAGUGAACGCCAUGGUAAAAUGCACCCAGCAUGCAUACAAGAGGCCGAGAGCCAAGUAAAACUGUGUCAGCCACAAGUACGUCUGUAUGGAUGGCCCUGAAGCAGGCAUUGCACAGCAGCCUCUGGAAGCAGGAGGCAUUUCUUCCUUGUUUUUGUGUUUGUUUUCUCUCUGUGUUUGUGAAAAGGGAAAGGGUAGUUGUCACUUAAUAGGUAUAACUUCUCUCAGCCAAUGAAGGGUGUGCACUCUGAGACAAGGUGGUGAUGUGGCAGAGAAGUGUCUUGACAGUACUGGUGGCUUCUGGCCACUGGCGUUUCUCCAACCACAUGUCAUCAUUAUGGCUGCCACUGUUAAUCAAAAGCCCACUUACUUCCAGGGUUGGUUGUCUGGCUCUUGCUUGGGUGAGUGUCACGUUAUUUCAGUCUAACCUACACAGGAGACUGACUGGGGAAAUCAGUAGGUUUCUCCAAGCGGCUUGGCAAGUGAGGCAGAGUCAGUAUCCUAGAGUGGGUAAGGCAAGUGUGGGCUCUGGUUUCCCUUUGGGAGGACCUGUUUGGAUGAGUGGGGCUUGUGGGCUGUGUUGAUUAUGAGUGGGCACUCCUGCUUUAGCCCAAUGGAGGUGUCCUGCUGGGGACAGGAUGGCCUCAGGAGUAGUGGAUUGGCUCUGAAAGGCUCUAUCUGCAUACACACAGCAGAGAGAUACACUGGACUUUACUGCUCCCAGUGCGAAUCAAAAGCCUGGCUUUGCUCCCACAGGAGUAAAUCGCUACGGGGCAUCCGGAAAGGGCAGCAUGGAGCUGGCAUUGAGUCUUGGAACCAACAUAAGUCCAGGCACAGCAUCCUGUGGAGCUCUGAGUUGGGUCCUGAGGCCUGGGAGCAGGCAAGGAAAGAUCAACAGUAGAGUUGACCAGAGGAAGCUGGGAGAUCCAUGGAGGCCCCUGGACUUGAUGGCAGCUUUGGAAGUCAGGAGGAAAGCAACUAGGGGUGGGGCUGUUGCCAGGUCUCCUGCUUUGGUGCAGUGAGUCUUAGUUUUAUAUGAUGGGAACCACUGGUAAGAUCAUUUUACAAAUGACACCGAAGUUCGGAAAUGUUGCUACAUGUCUCAAGUCACAGCUAAAAAGUUCCAGAACUGAGAUUUAACACCUAUCUCAUUGGUUGCAGUCUGGAUUCCUAGCCCCAAAUGUAUCCUGUUUGGUUGGGCCACUUAAACGAGGUCUCCUAACCCCAACCCCUCCUGCCGGUCCCAUACAUAGAGACAUUAAAUUCUGCCUGCAAGGUUCCCUCAAUACCUUGCCUGGGACCCUCCUUAAUUCCACCGAAUUCCAUCUCUGGGCUACACUAAGCUUUGCAGCCUGGGCCUUGAGAGCUGGAGAAGAAAUUCAAAGCCAUGUACAGACUCCGGGCCUUCAGUUAGCAUUUUUACUUAGCACUACGCUGUUUGCUUCUGGAAGUCUGGCCAUCUGCAUUCUGCAGAUGCUGUCUCUUCCUUCAGGUCCUUGACCUGCAAACCUAUGGGAAGGUCAAGGGUGCUCUAGGGCCUAGCUCCAUGCUUCACAGAGGUCGCCCUGCUGAGGGCUGCAGCAACCCAAGGCUGAGGAUCAGGCCUGGAAGAGCAAAAAGGGACAGCCAGACUUAGAAAUCGUUGGAACUCUUCCUCUGGCUUAUUUCAGGACAACGCUGGGGGAUGAUUAAGACAAAUUCGAGAGAAAGGACUCUUCUGACCCUGGGAAACCUCUGCCUCUUUUACCCCAGCUCACAACUAAUAAAAGUUCGGGAAAAAAAAA
rnacentral:sRNA from 1 species